GGCACGGUACCGGCCUAAGUUCCUUGGAACAGGGCGUCACAGAGGGUGAGAAUCCCGUAUGCCGCCGGCCUCCAAGCCCACAAGAAGCCCCUUCGACGAGUCGAGUUGUUUGGGAAUGCAGCUCAAAAUGGGUGGUAAAUUUCAUCUAAAGCUAAAUAUCUGCCAGAGACCGAUAGCGCACAAGUAGAGUGAUCGAAAGAUGAAAAGCACUUUGGAAAGAGAGUUAAAAAGUACGUGAAAUUGUUGAAAGGGAAGCGCUUGCGGCCAGACCUGCCCGUGGACGCUCCGCGGCGGUUUUCCGCCGGGUACUCGUCUGCGAUCAGGCCAGCAUCGGUCCUGGCGGUCGAAUAAAGGUCCCAGGAAUGUGGCUCCCCUCGGGGAGUGUUAUAGCCUGGGGCGGCAUACGGCCAGCUGGGAUCGAGGACCGCGUUCUGCAAGGAUGCUGGCGUAAUGGCCGUAAGCGG
rnacentral:rRNA from 1 species